CGGUUUUCAUGACGUAUCACGUUACUGACGCUCAUCUUGCUGUGAGAGAUGGCGGAACAAGAGGAAAUACAGAAGAAAAAUAGAAGCGACAAAACUGAAGAGAAACCCCGGACAAAAACCUCACGAGUAUGGGAGCACUUCACUCUAGAGUCCUUGUAAAGACGGGUGACCUGCAAAAUAUACAAAAACCAUCUAGCAUGGCACGGAAGCACGACGUCCCUAAGUGAAGAUUUGAGACGAAAACAUGUGGGGGCUGAUGCAGCAGAGGAAGAGCACCGCGGUCAAGUGAGCCGUCAUUUGGAAGAGCCAGCCCGAAAAAAAACAAGCAACGAUGGACAACUACAUGGGGAACAAGACACUCACCCCACAGCAAUUCAUACCACUUACAAACUCUAUUCUAAACAUGCUGGCAAAAGACAUGAGGCCACUAUCCAUGGUGGAAGGAGCAGGCUUCCAGCUAAUGCUAAAAAAUUAUUCUGGACUGAUAUUUUGCACUGUUUAGCUCAUUUUAUACUGCUGACUGUGUUCAUGUGCAAUAAAAUAGAUUGCAGUCAA